rnacentral:rRNA from 4 species
AAAUUGAAGAGUUUGAUCAUGGCUCAGAUUGAACGCUGGCGGCAGGCCUAACACAUGCAAGUCGAACGGUAACAGGAAGCAGCUUGCUGCUUCGCUGACGAGUGGCGGACGGGUGAGUAAUGUCUGGGAAACUGCCUGAUGGAGGG